AAAUUAUGGCAUUAAAGGAUCUUCAGCACAAUUCUUCAAAGGUGAUCAUUUCAGAUGAAGAUAUCAAAGAAGAAAUAAAGAAGAUGACAUCCCAGAACAACCUUGGCAAAAGACUUCGACAAGAAAGAUUUAAGAGUUCGAACAGGCCACUAAACCAUGGAGGACCCUCUGCAUAUCAUACUCUAAAGUAUUUUGAAAUUAAUACCCCAAAUCCUUGUGAGAAACCUGACCUAUCAGCAGUAAGCACAGAUCCAUAUGAUGCCAUUUGCUUUAAAGAGAGUACAACUGACCUCCAAUCCUGUGCCUAAGGAAUUGCUUGGGCUAUGUUUGAUUUCCACGGAAUUUAAUUUAUAUUAUUUAAAGCUAAUAUUGUUGCAAUUAAUUGUGCCUGCAAUACUGAGUGUUGCUGCAGACCAGAUCUCAAUGCUAGUUAGUUGCCUCUUGGUCCUAUUUGCAAUUUUUCUUGACCCCUAUCUCUUUUAAGCCUUUUGUCCUCAACUUUUAAUUCUCCCUUCAUUGUCUCCUGCCUUUGCUGGACAUGCCCAUUGUCUCUGUCAUUAUCUUGUCCUCCUUUGCACUUAUCAAUGGCAUUGUCAUUUAUCUUGCAGUCCCUUAGCAUUUCUCAGUACAUAUUCAGUUCAAUUGCAGUGUGUUAACCACUUAAACAUCCUUUUUUUUAUUCCCCACCUUUAUUUUCAGUUUUAUCCUCUCCUAUUCAUGGAUGGGUCUCCAUUCUCCAUCUUUUAUGUGUCACUCUCUAGAAUGUUUUCAAUUUUGCAUAUUCCAAAUCACUCAGCUGCCCUUCUUGUCCCAGAACCCACUUGCAUGUAGUUACCUCAAGCUUUUUUGCAUUGCUGGUAAUUGUGACCUUUCACAGAUUUAAAUUGUCAAUCAUCUAGGCCACAUUCACAUUAGCCUUCGCUGGAUCUUUGCUCCAGAUAAUUUUAAUUUUUAGGGAAGAGUUAUCCCUCAAUCAUCAUCGUUACAAUCAUCAAAAUAGUAUUGUUGGUCACUAUUACAUUGGAGUUUGCUGUUUGUAAAUAGGCUGCUACAUUUUCUACUACGGUACCUCCCUUUCAAAAAUUCUUCAUUGGCUGUGAAAUUCCUGGGGCAUCCUAAAUGCAUGUAAAAGGCACUACAUAAAUACAUAUAUUUGUCUCUACAGAUCUCCCAAUCCUCCCUGGGUCUGCAGUCUUCUUCAGCCUUUCACAGCCUCUGCUUUAUAUUCCUUUAGUUUUUCUUUUCUUCAUUUUAUUCUGUUGCUAUCACUUUCAGUGGCUUAGUCUUCAACUAUUUCAUUUUUAAAAUCUGGGACACCCUCAUUAAAAAUCAUCAUUUUUUCACCUAAUCUUAAAAGCUUCCUCAGAACCUAACUCCUUGAACCUGCAAUCACCCACAUACUAUCCUACUUCUGCCUACUUGCAAGCUUUCCUCUAUGAAGCGACUGAGAUAUUUUGUGUCACUAAAAGAACAAUAUGAAUGUAAAUUAUUAUUAUUGUUUUUGACUUUGGAUGUUUUCAUUUUCAAGCAUUUAUUUUUUUUAUCUUCAGCACCUUUCACACUCCAAAACAAUUUGUUUAAUCCUAAUUGUCUUUUUUGAUCUGCACGUGUGGAAUGCAUAAAAACCCAGGAGCUACAUGUAAUUUUAUUUUUUUCAUGGUGUGAAGGAACUAGUCAAAAAUCAUUCUGAUCACUCCAAGGUGUUUCUUAGCAGUUGUUUCAGUGAGCAGGACUGCACCCCACCCCACCCCCCCACCUCCCAUCCACACCCCAUCUGCAUGUUUA